AACCUGCUACGGCGGGCAGCAGUAGGGAAUCUUGGACAAUGGGCGAAAGCUUGAUCCAGUGAGAAUUUGUGUGGGAGGAAGGCAACGAAGUCGUAAACCACUUUCGAUAGGGAAGAUAAUGACUGUACCUAUAGUAAGAAGUACUGACUAAUUCUGUGCCAGCAGUCGCGGUAAGACAGAAAGUGCAGACGUUAUUCGGAAUUACUGGGCGUAAAGCGUCAGUAGAUGGCUAUUGAAACUGAUUUAGAAAAGCUGGAGUAAUAACUGUAGAAGAUAAAUCACCAAUUCUUUAGCUUGAGUCAAUAGAAGGUUAUUCGGGGAAUUUCUAGUGUAAGGGUAAAAUUUCGAAAUAUUAGAAGGAACACCAAAGGCGAAGGCAUCAUUCCGCUAUUGACUGACAUUGAGUGACGAAAGCAUAGGGAGCAAACAGGGUUUGAUAUCCUGGUAGUCUAUGCAGUAAACGAUGCACAUUAAAAACAUAUUAUAUAAUAUUGUUUUACAGCUAACGCGUUAAAUGUGCCGCCUGAAGAGUACGGCCGCAAGGUUGAAAUUUAAAGGAAUUGGCGCAACUUUUACGAGCAGUGGAGUAUGUGGCUUAAUUUGAUGGUCCCCGCAGAAUCUUACCAGUCUUUGACUAAUAUUUUUCUUAUUUGUUAAAUUAAUUCAUUAUUUUCUUGCAACGAACAAUAUUGUAAGGUAAACGAUAAUGUUAAAGUUUUAUUAUAGAAUUUAACAACGUAUAAAUAUUACAUGUGUUGCAUGGUUGUCGUAAGCUCGUGAUUUGAAUCGGAUGGUUAAGUCCUACGAACGAGCGAAACCCGAAUUGUUAGUUGACAUUUUUAGCUUUUCUGCCCCUAGAAUUGAACUUUAAAUACAUACUAGCAAAACUGCUGAUGAAUCAUCAGGCGAAGGUUCGGAUUAAGGCAAAUCGUCAUGGCCAUUAAAGAUUGGGCUACUCAUGUACUACAAUGGGAAUUUCAAUAAGAAGCAAUCAAGUAAUUGGGAGCAAAUCUUAAAAACAUUCUCUAAGUCCGGCUUAUUUUCUGCAACUUGAAAAUAUGAAUGAAAGGAGGAAUUGCUAGUAAUCGCAGAUCAGCUAAGCUGCGGUGAAUAUGUACCUUAGUUGUGCACACACCGCCCGUCAAGGGCUGGUAAAGUGUUUCCUUAAAGUGGGAUAUGUGUCCUAACUGUUAUUAAACUUUUAGGAAGGCAGCUUACGUCCGGGGACACCCACUGGUCUUAAGUCGUAACAAGGUAAUGGUACGGGAACGUGCCGUUG
rnacentral:rRNA from 1 species